rnacentral:lncRNA from 1 species
CCCCCUGAACCCUUGAAGUACCUGACGACCGCUAUCCAGAAGCCUCCUGCUCUUUCUCUCUCAGUGCUUUUGCCUCUCUCUCUCUUCUCGGGUUUGUACGGCUCUGUACGGUGAGAAAACCUGAAACCCCUUACUCUCUGUUUCACGCACAGGCCCUUUUAAAGGGUUAAAACCUAAUUAGAUUAGGUUUAAGAGUCCUUAAUCAACCCAAAUCAGGUUCUGAACCGUCAGAUCAAAAAAUAGAUCAACUCAUGCCCUCCGAUCGCAACCGAUCCAUGGAAUAGUGCGGUGGACCACGCGUAAUGCAUGGGAAAUGCCCACGCGGUCCACAGGCCCAGCCGUGGACCGCCUGAUCCACGGUGGACUGGGGCAAAGGGCCAGCAGGCCGCUGGGCCUAGGCCGAUGCGCUCCCACGCGCGGGCCUGCGCGCACCUGGGCCAUCCGAUCGUGACCGGCUCACACCAGAGCCAUCCGAUCGCACACUAUAGCCUCAGAUCAAACUUGAUCAUGCCUGGAGUCAUCCUCAGCCAUUCGAUCAUGAACAGCUCACUCCAAAGCCAUCGG